rnacentral:misc_RNA from 1 species
GAAAUGCGAUAAGUAAUGUGAAUUGCAGAAUUCAGUGAAUCAUCGAAUCUUUGAACGCACAUUGCGCCCGCCAGUAUUCUGGCGGGCAUGCCUGUCCGAGCGUCAUUUCAACCAUCAAGCCCCCGGGCUUGUGUUGGGGACCUGCGGCUGCCCGCAGGCCCUGAAAACCAGUGGCGGGCUCGCUGUCACACCUAGCGUAGUAGCAAUCACCUCGCUCAGGGCGUGCUGCGGGUUCCGGCCGUUAAACAGCCUUACAAAACCCAAGGUUGACCUCGGAUCAGGUAGGAAGACCCGCUGAACUUAAGC